rnacentral:rRNA from 1 species
AUUGAACGCUGGCGGCAGGCCUAACACAUGCAAGUCGAACGAGUGGCGGACGGGUGAGUAAUGUCUGGGAAACUGCCUGAUGGAGGGGGAUAACUACUGGAAACGGUAGCUAAUACCGCAUACCAUCGGAUGUGCCCAGAUGGGAUUAGCUAGUAGGUGGGGUAACGGCUCACCUAGGCGACGAUCCCUAGCUGGUCUGAGAGGAUGAACAGCGAGCAGGGAACUGAGACACGGUCCAGACUCCUACGGGAGGCAGAGGUGGGGAAUAGUGGACAAAGGGCGCAAGCCUGAUGGAGCCAUGCCGCGUGUAUGAAGAAGGCCUUCGGGUUGGAAAGUACUUUCAGCGGGGAGGCGUUACCCGCAGAAGAAGCACCGGCUAACUCCGUGCCAGCAGCCGCGGUAAUUC